CCCCACAAGCGGUGGAGCAUGUGUUAAUUCGACCCACGCGAAGAACCUUACCAGUCUUGACUCCUGACUAUGGUUGUUAGAAAUAACUUCCUUCAGUCGGCUGGGUCAGUGACAGGUGCUGCAUGGCUGUCGUCAGCUCGUGUCGUGAGAUGUUGGGUUAAGUUCCGCAACGAGCGCAACCCUUAUCUUCAGUUGCCAGCAGGUUAAGCUGGGCACUCUGAAGAGACUGCCGGUGAUAAGCCGGAGGAAGGCGGGGAUGACGUCAAGUCCUCAUGGCCCUUAUGACCUGGGCUACACACGUGCUACAAUGGCGUUGACAAUGAGCAGCGAUAACGCAAGUUUCAGCUAAUCUCAAAAAUACGUCUCAGUUCGGAUAGAACUCUGCAACUCGAGUUCUUGAAGUUGGAAUCGCUAGUAAUCGCAGAAUCAGCAUGCUGCGGUGAAUACGUUCCCGGGCCUUGUACACACCGCCCGUCACACCAUGGAAGUUGGUUUUACCCAAAGACGAUAAGCUAACCGUAAGGAGGCAGUCGGCUACGGUAAGGUCAGCGACUGGGGUG
rnacentral:rRNA from 1 species